AUUGAACGCUGGCGGCAUGCUUUACACAUGCAAGUCGAACGGUAACAGGGUGCUUGCACCGCUGACGAGUGGCGAACGCGUGAGUAAUGCGUCGGAACGUGCCGAGUAGUGGGGGAUAACGCAGCGAAAGUUGUGCUAAUACCGCAUACGUACUGAGGUAGAAAGUGGGGGACCUUCGGGCCUCACGCUAUUCGAGCGGCCGACGUCUGAUUAGCUAGUAGGUGAGGUAAAGGCUCACCUAGGCGACGAUCAGUAGCGGGUCUGAGAGGAUGGUCCGCCACACUGGGACUGAGACACGGCCCAGACUCCGACGGGAGGCAGCAGUGGGGAAUUUUGGACAAUGGGCGAAAGCCUGAUCCAGCAAUGCCGCGUGUAUGAAGAAGGCCUUCGGGUUGUAAAGUACUUUCAGCGGGGAGGAAGGCGGUGGAGUUAAUAACUUCACCGAUUGACGUUACCCGCAGAAGAAGCACCGGCUAACUCCGUGCCAGCAGCCGCGGUAA
rnacentral:rRNA from 1 species